rnacentral:rRNA from 1 species
UACGAAGGGGGCUAGCGUUGCUCGGAAUCACUGGGCGUAAAGCGCACGUAGGCGGAUUGCUAAGUCAGGGGUGAAAUCCUGGAGCUCAACUCCAGAACUGCCUUUGAUACUGGCGACCUUGAGUCCGGGAGAGGUGAGUGGAACUGCGAGUGUAGAGGUGAAAUUCGUAGAUAUUCGCAAGAACACCGGUGGCGAAGGCGGCUAUCUGGACUGUGAUUGACGCUGAGGCGCGAAAGCGUGGGGAGCAAACAGG